ACACGUUCUCACUCCCAACUCGUCAAAUGUGUGACGCAUGGUCAGGCUGCUUCACUUAUGGACGCGCAGGGUACCCCCCUCGUGUCGGGAAUUGACGUGAAGGGUCCUCCGAUUGAAGAGAUUGCCGCGGAAGUGCCUGUUGUCAGUAUAUUUAGACAUUUUCCAAACCACAUUGUAGUGACGUAUACAGAACACAAUAAAUUAUAUAAUGUAAACAACUACCUGAAAAACAGGUAGAACAAUACUUUUGUAUCGUUUAUUGCAUUUAUGGAGGGAGUGGUGUAUGCUGGGUAAUGGCACAGCUAGCGACUGGGUGACUUUAUUCACCCGCUUCGGCUGUUAUCAGUCCAUACAAUGGGCGUUAUUAGCACAAAUCAGUCCCAUAGAUAUGGACCAUCUCCUGCUAGAUUGUUCAGACGGUUGUUCUCAUCCAUCCAGAUGGAGGAUCACUAACAGGAGCGUGGGAAGACUCCAGAAUCCACUCUGGCUGGAUAUGCAGUGGAUAUUACCAACAGAACAGUUCUCCACAGUCACUGUCCACAUGGGUCAGUGGGACCAAGAAGCACUCUGCUAAUGUGUGGACUUUGACCAGCAACAUCCAGCAAGACCCAGACAGCGUUUUCGAUCUCCCAGCUGGAGGUUUUUGUUGGUCUGUGACUGGAGAGUCAGAUUUUUGUUGAGCUUCACACUUGCAGAGUUAAUACACGCUACUGAUCCCUGAUGGGAGAAUCAUCAAUUUUGGCAACAAAGAAGCCUGGUGGAUGUUUGUUUACAGUCUGAUGAUGGGACAUCAUGCUCUGCAUCUUCAAAGUUUGCCUCCUCAUUAUUAUUCAUACCCAGUAAUGUGAAGUAUGCUCAUAUCUACUAUAACUGAACCAACCUGGUGCUCUUCAUUUAUGGAGGCUGUUGAGUCUGAAUGUUGGAUGUUGUGUAUCUCGUGUUCUCUGGGCUUUGUUGUCCUCAGUCUUUUUGCAGGAUCAGAAAACAAAACCAGGAGGCGCGUAAAUGUUUCUUCUCCAUGAUGUUUCUUCAAAUGUUUCUUCUGGAUGAUGAUAAGACUGUGACACGGGAUGCCACCUUUGGUCUUGUGAUGAAGCAAAGCUCAGGAAGAAGUGGGAUUAAAUGGUACCCACAUGUGUGCUGCUGAGAAGGAUGUACAGGGGCACCUGCAGCCAAAUCCAAGCCUCAGAGCAGCAGUUUGUGCUCACAGAUGGUGACGGCGUGGAGAGACGGUGGUGUUUCCUCAGAAGAACCAGCAGAGUCACUUGCUGACUGAUGUUCGUCUGCACUGCACAGAGGAAAUCAACUGACCGAGAGGCGGCGGCAAGAGGGGAGACCUCGGCUCAUCCAGCUGGACAGCCUGAUCAGGAGGAGUCGAACAUUAACUCAGGUCUUCCAGGGCACCCUGCAGACUCAGCUGCUGGCAACAGCGAGGGAGUGCGGCCGCCGCUGGGAUGACGUGAACGCCAAACAGGAGUCCAUCACAGGUCAAUUGCAGCUCCUUGUCUCAGAGUGGGAGGGAUUUGAAGCACAAAGGGAGGAGCUUGUCAUUUGGUUGGCUGAUAUGGAUGUCCACCUGAGUGAGGUUUACCAGCUAACAGGAAACACCAGUGAAAAACUGAAACAACUGCAGGUGUGGCCUUGUUUUGAUAUAACAUAUAUUUGAUAUGAUACAUACGUCAGAGACAUUGUCCUAAACUGGACUAACAAAGGACCAUGAGUCCAACAUGAAACUUACCUUACAUAAGGUAAGGCUGAAGUUCAUUGAUAAUUUUAAUCAAAAACUUGUUGUUGAAAUAUUUUUACUGAAUAUGCAAACAUCUGCUGAUGAAAAUGUGUUGAUUUAUUGGUCUGUUAUGAAGCUAUUGCUAUUUCUAAUGUGUUUUUAUCACUUUCUGAUGUUUUAUUAAUUAAACAAUACAUGUAGUAAUUGUUGUGUUAUCUAUAGAUAUAGUAUUUAUAUAUAUAUUUAUUUAUUCAUAGUAUAGUAAAAAUGUUUAAUCAUUACUGUUUAAAUGACUAAUAUGUGACAUGUAUUAGUAGUGAUGUGGUGCUGAGGGUUAAAAUGCCUUUUUGUCUUUUGGUAUAUUACGAAACGGC
ensembl:lncRNA